AUUGAACGCUGGCGGCAGGCCUAACACAUGCAAGUCGAGCGAGCGGCGGACGGGUGAGUAAUGUAUGGGGACUGCCCGAUAGAGGGGGAUAACUACUGGAAACGCUGGCUAAUACCCCAUACUGUCGGCUUACCCAUAUGGGAUUAGCUCGUAGGUAAGGUAAUGUAUUACCUAGGCGACGAUCCCUAGCUGGGCUGAGAGGAGGAUCAGCCACACUGGGACUGAGACACGGCCCAGACGCCUACGGAGGCAGCAGUGGGGAAUAUUGCACAAUGGGCGCAAGCCUGAUGCAGCCAUGCCGCGUGUAUGAAGAAGGCCCUAGGGUUGUAAAGUACUUUCAGUCGGGAGGCGUUACCGACAGAAGAAGCAACGGCUAACUCCGUGCCAGCAGCCGCGGUAAUUC
rnacentral:rRNA from 1 species